rnacentral:rRNA from 1 species
CGGAACGGGUGAGUAACGCGUGAGGAACCUGCCUCAAAGAGGGGGACAACAGUUGGAAACGACUGCUAAUACCGCAUAAGCGCACAGUACCACAUGGUACAGUGUGAAAAACUCCGGUGGUAUGAGAUGGACCCGCGUCUGAUUAGCUAGUUGGUGAGGUAACGGCCCACCAAGGCGACGAUCAGUAGCCGACCUGAGAGGGUGACCGGCCACAUUGGGACUGAGACACGGCCCAG